UGCAGUAGAACGCUGAAGAGAGGAGCUUGCUCUUCUUGGAUGAGUUGCGAACGGGUGAGUAACGCGUAGGUAACCUGCCUUGUAGCGGGGGAUAACUAUUGGAAACGAUAGCUAAUACCGCAUAACAAUGGAUGACACAUGUCAUUUAUUUGAAAGGGGCAAUUGCUCCACUACAAGAUGGACCUGCGUUGUAUUAGCUAGUAGGUGAGGUAACGGCUCACCUAGGCGACGAUACAUAGCCGACCUGAGAGGGUGAUCGGCCACACUGGGACUGAGACACGGCCCAGACUCCUACGGGAGGCAGCAGUAGGGAAUCUUCGGCAAUGGGGGCAACCCUGACCGAGCAACGCCGCGUGAGUGAAGAAGGUUUUCGGAUCGUAAAGCUCUGUUGUAAGUCAAGAACGAGUGUGAGAGUGGAAAGUUCACACUGUGACGGUAGCUUACCAGAAAGGGACGGCUAACUACGUGCCAGCAGCCGCGGUAAUACGUAGGUCCCGAGCGUUGUCCGGAUUUAUUGGGCGUAAAGCGAGCGCAGGCGGUUUGAUAAGUCUGAAGUUAAAGGCUGUGGCUCAACCAUAGUUCGCUUUGGAAACUGUCAAACUUGAGUGCAGAAGGGGAGAGUGGAAUUCCAUGUGUAGCGGUGAAAUGCGUAGAUAUAUGGAGGAACACCGGUGGCGAAAGCGGCUCUCUGGUCUGUAACUGACGCUGAGGCUCGAAAGCGUGGGGAGCG
rnacentral:rRNA from 1 species